CCUGAUAAAGGAUGUAAAUGAAUGAGAGGGACAGUCUCGUGCACGCAGAGCUCGAACAAAAGCGACCGAACCUCAGUGGAGGAACGUGUCGAUUGAGGGAUGCACACAGCAUCAGACAGACUGCUGCAGGAUCUGUUCCAACUUUCCUCAAUCACUUUCAUUAGAGACUGGAGAUGUGAAGACACGGAUCCGUCACAAGAGACGUCAAUCCAGAGGUCCUGGAGUCUCUGAGGAUGAAACAUCAAAACAGGGAGAGAUGAGGAGCGUGUGCAAGAGACACUGAGAUGAAGUCAGAGAUGUCCAGCUCACUGAUAGCGAUCGCCAGGAGCACUGCAACUCUAUUCCUCGUGUCUGUGGGCCGCUCUCUCCUCUGGAGGCCAGGAAGGGUUAGCUGUGCUGGGCUUUGAGGAUACCACACCGGCACCUCUGGAGCUCAGUAGGAUAGAAAGAGAAAAGAGAACUGAUGCUGGUCUAAUCUCGGCUAAUCUAACCAUCAGAGGAACAGUGCUUCACAAGCAAAGACGAGACAGAAGACAAAUUUAGAUGAAACAGACCCGCUGAUGAGGUGCGCUGUUGUUUUGGAGAUCUGAUGAUGUCAUUUUUAAAGAUGUUCAGGAAGACUGAUUGAGUCAAAUCAUUUCAGUCCAGUUCUGAAACACACAAUAUAACAAGCAUGAGUUUUGUGGGACUAUUGGUCUGUUCACUGUUAGUACCAAACUAAAAACAUUCUGGAAUAUUUCCACGACCAUCUGCACACACUCAGGUGAGUUUGCACAAGGUAAGGAAAUCUAAAAAUGCACAUGACGUUAUUUUCUUUAAUAUGCUUUGAGUUGCAUUUCUGCAUGUGCGUUUCCAGAUAACAGCUGAAUGUGAUGCAUUAUUCUCUCUAGUCUUUUCAAGCACUCUGUAUGAAUUAUAAACUCUAAAUGAAUAUUGCAAUAACACAACAUUAAAACAAAUGCCUUUUGAGUCAAUGAAUACUGUUAAUGAGCAAUUAAAUAUCAGUUAAGCUGUCGUUUAUCAUCGGAGUGUACUGUGUACUUUGUGAAAUGAUUAUAAA